GGAAGCGUGCCAGAGUGGCCGAAUGGGGCGGUUUCGAAAACCGCUGUCGCCUCACCGGCGACCAGAGGUUCGAAUCCUCUCGCUUCCG
rnacentral:tRNA from 1 species